CUAACUUCCUUCACGUCUGCGAUGUUCAGAGUUUUAUCGAUGUUAUUUCAUCCUGGUUGGUGUUUGAGUGAAAACGUUUUAUUGUUUGACUCCCCAGCUUCGCGUCAUCCGCCCAUGCUGAGCAUCUCCGCACAACAACCACAUAAACCACCUGGUUUUCCUGUGAGUGAAGAGGUUUCUCAUAGCAAAACCUUCUGCUAGGGACUUGUGUGCAGGAACUCGACUCAAAUCCAAACUCCAGAGAAAUUGUGAGGUGUGAACAGACAAUGGAAAGAGCCAGCAGAGGCGGAAUGGACCAGAGAGAUGUGGGAGACCAUUAAACCAGAGUGAGAACAGCUGAGUAUGUAGAAAUGAAAUGAAUGUUAAAAUCACAAACCCACAGAGAACAGGAACUAGAGAAACAGUAAAUAGGUGGAGCGCCACUUAGCCAACGCAAUGAAAAGUCAGACACAGAAGUGAGAUAAAACGGGAAGGAAAGAGAAGGAAGGAGAACUAAAUAAAACACAGAACUAUAACACUAAAUGGAACCAAAACCACAACUGAAAGUGCAUUAGCAUUUUUCUACACUUUGACAAACUUAAGUCAAUAAAAGUCUGUACUGGAUUAGUGAUGAAGAUGAAGAAAACCAACUUUAAAUGAUCCCAAAUUUCAAUGGGAUCCCUUUCUACUGAACCCAGUUCAAAAACCCUGGGUUCACAUUGAUACCCCAAAAAGAUUUAAAAUGACUAUUUUCUACUUUGAAAGAGUGGAGUUCAGGUUGUAGCAACUCAAAAAAAGAAGCUGUUGUAAUAUGACGAAAUGAAAAGAAAAACAUCACACUGACUGUAAAAUGUAAACAUAGUUUGUUAGACAUCAUAUUCCAGACUCUGACUGCGUGGCAGAUCAUGUCUGAGAAGAAAUGUCUUCUACCAAACAAAAGUGGCUUCUUCUUUCCACGAUGUCGAGUUGUGUUUUCAGUCAGAGAAAAAUCAGUCGUGACGGCUACAAACGGCAAAAGGUUUCAGACAAGAAGGGAAGUACCAUUGUUUCUAGAUUGAGUCCGGAUUUAAAAUGAAUAUUUUUGCUGCUUUCAGGCCAGAGACAGGAAGGUGGUCGGAGAUCAGGACGGAGCCAGACGUCACGCCUCCACCGCUCGCUCUCUCAACAUCGCAGCGACCGUCCUGGCGUGUUUAGGAGUUGCUGUUUACGUUGUUGUAAUCUUUGCUAUGAUUAAAUGAGUGAACCAUUGCUCAGGCUACAGAUCCUAUUGCAAUCGCAAUUAUUGCCAAUAACUAAAGUUCAGAUUGUAUGAGGGAUUUUCCAACACUGUAACGCAGUUGUUCUGUUUUUGCUCUGGUGCCAAAACGAAGUUGUGACAGUGACACUAGUAGUAAAGUCUAGGAACUUAAUUUCUGUAAAGUUUGCUUUUAUGAAACCUGGAAGGGUGUUUUGUUUCAUAAUAAUAAUAACAAUAAUAAACAUUAUGCUCUUUAAAACACAUAAAUGUCCUUUCUGUCAUGGAUUGGGUUGAUUGAGGUGGUGAGGAUGGACAUAGACCCAGGUUGAUGUGCAAUAAUGAUGGUUUUAAUGACAAACAUGAAGAGAACAGAAAUCCAGGCAGCACAGGUGAACAAUGAGGCCAGUUACUCAGACACUCUGGUGGAGCUGGGAAGACACAGGACUAACAAAGACUGACAGCAAUGACAAGGACCUGACGGGGGACAGGUAGCACAGGUGGGGCUAAACACACACAAGGGGAUAAUCAGGGAAACAAGGGGCAGCUGGAAACGAUCAAAGGGAAGACGAGACGACACCGGAAGUAGAUUAACAGAAAAACAUACAAAAAUCCACAUCCUCACCAGUGAUGUCACUUUGUAACGCGUUACUGACAUUGGACCACUUUUUUCAGUAAAGAGUAAUUUAACGCGUUUCUAUUUCAAAUCCAGUAGUCAGACUACAGUUACUUAUCGAAACCACUUUGUGUUACUAUCUUCUUUUGUAAUUGAAUUUUAUUUAAUCUACGUGUCUUUUGGAGUGACCCCCGUUUCUAUGUGACAGUGUCAGCAGCGACAGAAAUGUAAAAAAAAAAAAAAAUGGACGGAGAUGCGCAUUUUGUAGAUGAAAAGAUGUUGAGUUUCGCUCGCCAAAUUCGUUUAUUAUAAGCGGCUUUGGGCUUGUUUUUGUCUUUCUAAAGUCGCUUGCAAAUUGAAUGAGCUGCGCUUUUUGGGUUUGGAAAUCAGCAGACAUAAACCCCAGAGUUUGUCUGACGCCCAGUUAAUUUUAGUCCAUCAUUACCCGGAUGAUCCGUCCCGCUGUGUUUUUGUUAAUGUUAAGUUAAUAUAUUUUCUGUUGAGGUUGAGUUUUGCGUUGCGCUCCAGAAAACUGCAAACAUUGAGACCAAUUUGAACAGCGCAACAAACGUGAAAACAGCCACGACUGAACGUGUCCGUAAAGUUGUGGGACUAAACGCCAUUAUAAUUAUUAAUAUUAAGAUUAGUGUCACAAAUCUGUGCAGCAUCUGAGCUGUGGAGCUGCAGGAGACGCGCUGUGUGCUGUUCUAAAAUCCUAUUUAGAGUUUUCUAGACAAUGCAGGAACACA